rnacentral:rRNA from 1 species
GACGAACGCUGGCGGCGUGCUUAACACAUGCAAGUCGAACGGUGAAGCGCCUUCCUUUUUGGUGGGUGUGGAUGAGUGGCGAACGGGUGAGUAACACGUGAGUAACCUGCCCCCUUCUUCUGGAUAACCGCAUGAAAGUGUGGCUAAUACGGGAUAUUCUGGGUCUGUCGCAUGAUGGGUCUGGGAAAGAUAUUGUUUCGGUGGGGGAUGGGCUCGCGGCCUAUCAGCUUGUUGGUGGGGUGAUGGCCUACCAAGGCGGUGACGGGUAGCCGGCCUGAGAGGGUGGACGGUCACACUGGGACUGAGACACGGCCCAGACUCCUACGGGAGGCAGCAGUGGGGAAUAUUGCACAAUGGGCGCAAACCUGAUGCAGCGACGCCGCGUGAGGGAUGGAGGCCUUCGGGUUGUGAACCUCUUUCGCCAGUGAAGCAGGCCUGCCUCGUUUGUGGGUGGGUUGACGGUAGCUGGAUAAGAAGCGCCGGCUAACUACGUG